GCAUGCAUCAGUCUCCAUUUUCAACAGGCAAAGCGCCGCGACAGGAGCACCCAGCCGCCCUCGUCAGCAGCCGCCCGGUAGCAGCGACAGCUCUACAUGCGAAGCAGCGAAAUUCAUCUACACGAAUAAGUGGAUAUUUACGCACUGAUUACGUAACUUUACUGGACUAUUUAUUCUACUGUUGUUGUUUAUGUUUUCUAUCCACCCGAAGUUUGUUUUUAAUUUUUAAUUGCACAAAUCGCAUUUGUAACUGAUUUCCAACUCAAAAUGGAGAAUCAAGAAGGAAAAUACCUCCCGGAGCUCCUGGCGGAGAAAGACAGCCUGGACGUGUCAUUUACGCACGCGAUGAAACUUUUAUCCGCAGAAAUCGAGAGAAUCCAGAAAGGUGAGCCUAAGAAGGAAGGAGGAGAUGCGUACCUGGACCUUUUCACCGUCAAGAAUAUCAAACUGAAGGAACGCGUGCUCAUACCUGUCAAACAGUAUCCGAGGUUCAACUUUGUGGGGAAGAUUCUUGGCCCUCAGGGCAACACAAUCAAACGCCUUCAGGAAGAGACUGGGGCCAAGAUCUCUGUACUGGGCAAAGGAUCCAUGAGGGACAAGGCGAAGGAGGAGGGUCUGAGGAAAGGUGGUGAGCCCAAGUACGCACACCUGUCCAUGGAGCUGCAUGUCUUCAUCGAGGUGUUUGCUCCCGUGCCCGAGGCGUAUCUACGCAUGGCCCACGCCAUGGAGGAAGUCAAGAAGUUCCUUUUUCCUGACAUGAUGGAUGACAUCUGUCAGGAACAGUUCAUGGAGAUGGGUUAUCUGAACGGGGGCCAGGAGCACGGGCCAGGGGCCCCACGAGGUAGAGGCGGACCACCGGGCCGAGGAGGGCCACCGGGACAAACAGGGGCAUCCAGGGGUAGAGGUAUGCUCCCACGUGGAGGUGCCACAAGGGGUGGUGCGCCCCGCGGGGGGCCAGCCAGAGUUGGGGUAGUGAGGGGGGCACCGGCAGGAAGAGGGGGACCUCCAGCUGCCCCCGUCCGAGGGGCAGCAACAUCCCGAGCUAGACCCCCUGCCCCUGGUGGACCACCCAGGAUGCCCCCCCAACACCAACACGCCCCAGCACACGAACAAUAUGAGGAAUAUGCCUAUGAUGAGGGCUACACAGAGCCAGCGUACGAGUCAUACGACAAUUACUACAGUCAACCACAGGCAGAGCCAGAGUACUACGACUACGGACAUGGAGAGGUACAGGAGGCAUAUGAACCCUACGCCCAGGACGACUGGAACGGAGCCCAGAGAGCGGCACCGGCGGGAAAGGCCCCACCUUCCAGAGCGGCUAAGGGCCCUUACCGAGAACACCCCUAUAGACAAUACUGAACUCACCAUGACAACGCCUAGCGACCAACGCUAACGAGUUGCCCUGACAACCAACCAACCUGUCUACCACGGCAGCUCUCGCUCUAAGCAACCCUCGAAAAAAGUCCAACUAUUAGUCAGUCAAGGACCAAUCAGAGGGUGGCUUACUGGAGAGAGAACCAGUCAGAGGUUGGCUUACUGGAGAGAUGAUACCAUACGUACCUCAGUGAGGUGGUGCAGGAGCAGCAGGGUUCUACAUGACAGAGCACUGGAUCUCCGUCAGGCUCCGCAGUGAAGGACUGACCCAGUGGAAGGCACCAAUACUGGGGUAGAGCAGUCCGGAAGGAGGGCAGGCUGCCAAAAGGACCAGAGAGCAGAUGUAGGCUACGGAGGGGAGCCUAGGCCCCGCUAGAAAAAGAAGAGGGGUGAUUCUAUGAGGCUCUGUAUUAGAAUCUGGAUGAGGGGAGAAGAUUCUGGAAUGUGAAGCUAUGACCCUGAAGCUAUGACACUAACUGUGAAGCUAUGACACUGAAGCUAUGACACUAACUGUGAAGCUAUGACACUGAAGCUAUGACACUAACUGUGAAGCUAUGACACUGAAGCUAUGACACUAACUGUGAAGCUAUGACACUGAAGCUAUGACACUAACUGUGAAGCUAUGACACUAACUGUGAAGCUAUGACCCUGAAGCUAUGACACUAACUGUGAAGCUAUGACACUGUGAAGCUAUGCUUGUGAUGUCUGUAUGUUUGACUGUGGCGUUUUGAUACUGUACUGCUUAUUCACUGCUAGGUACUUUUGAUACUAAUCACUUUUGUAUUGGUUUCUAAUGUGAACGGUUUCCAAGACGCUUUACAGUUUGUAGUAAGUGAAACUUCAUUGUUAUGGAAAAAUGUACUAUGAAAAUGACCACCCAGGCUGUAACCAGCUGUGAAAUUGGUUUAAAUUUCCCUUUAAUUGGUUGUCUUAUAUUUUCUUUGAAGGGUUGAACACAUUUUUACUUUCUGCAAGGCAAGCUGUAUUUAUUCACCCCCUCAUAGACAGAUUGUUCAUUAUACUGUUUAACAGAUACAGCCUGUGUCCAUGUCUGUUUCUUUGUCUUUAUGGUUUAAUAUCAUGGUAAAUGAUGCUAUGUGCUUGUGAAAUCAAGACGCCCUAAGAGUGAAUCUGUUCUGCUCGAGUUCUCUGCUGCUCGCCACGUCGUUCACACACUGAAUAUCACUCACACAUACACGCACACGUACAACAGACAAUCCCUGGCAUAACCCAGCCUAUGUUGCCCUAAAGAUAUGAAAUGCUAAUGUGAAAUGCAUUUGCAUGUUCUUUCCGCUCAAAUGUGCAAAGCUUUCGCAACAAAUGUUGGCUUGCUCAACGUCCAAGUCUGAUAAUGCUGUGAGAUCUGGCUGUGAGGGGAAGUGCGUGUGAGGGAGAUAGAUUACCAGCAUUUGCUCUCUCCCUCUCCGGCUCCUCCGCUGACUUCCUCCCUACCUCCUGUCUCUCGUACUCCCUCCCUACCUACCUCCUCUCUCUCGUACUCCCUCC